GCGCGCGAUACAGGGUGACAGCCCCGUACACAAAAAUGCACAUGCUGUGAGCUCGAUGAGUAGGGCGGGACACGUGGUAUCCUGUCUGAAUAUGGGGGGACCAUCCUCCAAGGCUAAAUACUCCUGACUGACCGAUAGUGAACCAGUACCGUGAGGGAAAGGCGAAAAGAACCCCGGCGAGGGGAGUGAAAAAGAACCUGAAACCGUGUACGUACAAGCAGUGGGAGCACGCUUAGGCGUGUGACUGCGUACCUUUUGUAUAAUGGGUCAGCGACUUAUAUUCUGUAGCAAGGUUAACCGAAUAGGGGAGCCGAAGGGAAACCGAGUCUUAACUGGGCGUUAAGUUGCAGGGUAUAGACCCGAAACCCGGUGAUCUAGCCAUGGGCAGGUUGAAGGUUGGGUAACACUAACUGGAGGACCGAACCGACUAAUGUUGAAAAAUUAGCGGAUGACUUGUGGCUGGGGGUGAAAGGCCAAUCAAACCGGGAGAUAGCUGGUUCUCCCCGAAAGCUAUUUAGGUAGCGCCUCGUGAAUUCAUCUCCGGGGGUAGAGCACUGUUUCGGCAAGGGGGUCAUCCCGACUUACCAACCCGAUGCAAACUGCGAAUACCGGAGAAUGUUAUCACGGGAGACACACGGCGGGUGCUAACGUCCGUCGUGAAGAGGGAAACAACCCAGACCGCCAGCUAAGGUCCCAAAGUCAUGGUUAAGUGGGAAACGAUGUGGGAAGGCCCAGACAGCCAGGAUGUUGGCUUAGAAGCAGCCAUCAUUUAAAGAAAGCGUAAUAGCUCACUGGUCGAGUCGGCCUGCGCGGAAGAUGUAACGGGGCUAAACCAUGCACCGAAGCUGCGGCAGCGACACUAUGUGUUGUUGGGUAGGGGAGCGUUCUGUAAGCCUGUGAAGGUGUGCUGUGAGGCAUGCUGGAGGUAUCAGAAGUGCGAAUGCUGACAUAAGUAACGAUAAAGCGGGUGAAAAGCCCGCUCGCCGGAAGACCAAGGGUUCCUGUCCAACGUUAAUCGGGGCAGGGUGAGUCGACCCCUAAGGCGAGGCCGAAAGGCGUAGUCGAUGGGAAACAGGUUAAUAUUCCUGUACUUGGUGUUACUGCGAAGGGGGGACGGAGAAGGCUAUGUUGGCCGGGCGACGGUUGUCCCGGUUUAAGCGUGUAGGCUGGUUUUCCAGGCAAAUCCGGAAAAUCAAGGCUGAGGCGUGAUGACGAGGCACUACGGUGCUGAAGCAACAAAUGCCCUGCUUCCAGGAAAAGCCUCUAAGCAUCAGGUAACAUCAAAUCGUACCCCAAACCGACACAGGUGGUCAGGUAGAGAAUACCAAGGCGCUUGAGAGAACUCGGGUGAAGGAACUAGGCAAAAUGGUGCCGUAACUUCGGGAGAAGGCACGCUGAUAUGUAGGUGAAGUCCCUUGCGGAUGGAGCUGAAAUCAGUCGAAGAUACCAGCUGGCUGCAACUGUUUAUUAAAAACACAGCACUGUGCAAACACGAAAGUGGACGUAUACGGUGUGACGCCUGCCCGGUGCCGGAAGGUUAAUUGAUGGGGUUAGCGGUAACGCGAAGCUCUUGAUCGAAGCCCCGGUAAACGGCGGCCGUAACUAUAACGGUCCUAAGGUAGCGAAAUUCCUUGUCGGGUAAGUUCCGACCUGCACGAAUGGCGUAAUGAUGGCCAGGCUGUCUCCACCCGAGACUCAGUGAAAUUGAACUCGCUGUGAAGAUGCAGUGUACCCGCGGCAAGACGGAAAGACCCCGUGAACCUUUACUAUAGCUUGACACUGAACAUUGAGCCUUGAUGUGUAGGAUAGGUGGGAGGCUUUGAAGUGUGGACGCCAGUCUGCAUGGAGCCGACCUUGAAAUACCACCCUUUAAUGUUUGAUGUUCUAACGUUGACCCGUAAUCCGGGUUGCGGACAGUGUCUGGUGGGUAGUUUGACUGGGGCGGUCUCCUCCUAAAGAGUAACGGAGGAGCACGAAGGUUGGCUAAUCCUGGUCGGACAUCAGGAGGUUAGUGCAAUGGCAUAAGCCAGCUUGACUGCGAGCGUGACGGCGCGAGCAGGUGCGAAAGCAGGUCAUAGUGAUCCGGUGGUUCUGAAUGGAAGGGCCAUCGCUCAACGGAUAAAAGGUACUCCGGGGAUAACAGGCUGAUACCGCCCAAGAGUUCAUAUCGACGGCGGUGUUUGGCACCUCGAUGUCGGCUCAUCACAUCCUGGGGCUGAAGUAGGUCCCAAGGGUAUGGCUGUUCGCCAUUUAAAGUGGUACGCGAGCUGGGUUUAGAACGUCGUGAGACAGUUCGGUCCCUAUCUGCCGUGGGCGCUGGAGAACUGAGGGGGGCUGCUCCUAGUACGAGAGGACCGGAGUGGACGCAUCACUGGUGUUCGGGUUGUCAUGCCAAUGGCACUGCCCGGUAGCUAAAUGCGGAAGAGAUAAGUGCUGAAAGCAUCUAAGCACGAAACUUGCCCCGAGAUGAGUUCUCCCUGACCCUUUAAGGGUCCUGAAGGAACGUUGAAGACGACGACGUUGAUAGGCCGGGUGUGUAAGCGCAGCGAUGCGUUGAGCUAACCGGUACUAAUGAACCGUGAGGCUUAACCUUACAACGCCGAAG
rnacentral:rRNA from 1 species